rnacentral:misc_RNA from 1 species
AAGUCGUAACAAGGUUUCCGUAGGUGAACCUGCGGAAGGAUCAUUAACACGUUAUCCACGUAUCAUCAUCCGUAUGUCACCGUUACUAACUCCCUCCGUGCAGAAUGAACAGCAGCGAUUUAGAGUGAUGGAAGUGGAUGUGUUCUUUUACGCGCCGAUCUCUAUUGCUAUUCUUGCUGACGGGCCUGCUUUUUGGCGGCUCCGAGUGCGGGUACUGUUGCAUCUGUCUCGUGGAGGACCCCUCUCAGCGAACAACUCUCCUUCCAGAGGUGGGCGCUUGGGAACUUAUUCACAAUUAUUCACCCCUUUUUGCUAGUUGACUUUUAUAUGUUGUUCUUUGCUUCGGCAAGGUUCACACGUUUAAUUAUUUGAACGUUAAAAAUACAACUCUUAGCAAUGGAUAUCUAGGUUCUC